GGUCCGCACUGAGCUCUCUCUCUCUCUCUCUCUUUCUCUCUCUCUCAGAGACAGGGACAAUACAGAGCUCCCUGUAACACUCCCCAGGGUCCGCACUGAGCUCUCUCUCCCUCUCUCUCCGAGACAGGUACAAUACAGAGCUCCCUGUAACACUCCCCACAGUCUGCACUGAGCUCUCUCUCCCUCUCUCUCUGAGACAGGUACAAUACAGAGCUCCCUGUAACACUCCCCACAGUCUGUACUGAGCUCUCUCUCCCUCUCUCUCUCUCUCUCUCUGAGACAGGUACAAUACAGAGCUCCCUGUAACACUCCCCAGGGUCCGCACUGAGCUCUCUCUCCCUCUCUCUCAGAGACAGGUACAAUACAGAGCUCCCUGUAACACUCCCAGGGUCUGCACUGAGCUCUCUCCCCCUCUCUCUCUCUCUCUCUCUCUCAGAGACAGGUACAAUCAGAGCUCCCUGUAACUCUCCCCACGGUCCGCACUGAGCUCUCUCUCCCUCU